rnacentral:rRNA from 1 species
GAUGAACGCUGGCGGCGUGCCUAAUACAUGCAAGUAGAACGCUGAAGAUUGGUGCUUGCUCNNNGCGGAUGAGUUGCGAACGGGUGAGUAACGCGUAGGUAACCUGCCUCGUAGCGGGGGAUAACUAUUGGAAACGAUAGCUAAUACCGCAUAACAGUCGAUAUCGCAUGAUAUUGAUUUGAAAGGUGCAAAUGCAUCACUACGAGAUGGACCUGCGUUGUAUUAGCUAGUUGGUGAGGUAACGGCUCACCAAGGCAACGAUACAUAGCCGACCUGAGAGGGUGAUCGGCCACACUGGGACUGAGACACGGCCCAGACUCCUACGGGAGGCAGCAGUAGGGAAUCUUCGGCAAUGGGGGCAACCCUGACCGAGCAACGCCGCGUGAGUGAAGAAGGUUUUCGGAUCGUAAAGCUCUGUUGUAAGAGAAGAACGAGUGUGAGAGUGGAAAGUUCACACUGUGACGGUAACUUACCAGAAAGGGACGGCUAACUACGUGCCAGCAGCCGCGGUAAUACGUAGGUCCCGAGCGUUAUCCGGAUUUAUUGGGCGUAAAGCGAGCGCAGGCGGUUAGAUAAGUCUGAAGUUAAAGGCUGUGGCUUAACCAUAGUUCGCUUUGGAAACUGUCUAACUUGAGUGCAGAAGGGGAGAGUGGAAUUCCAUGUGUAGCGGUGAAAUGCGUAGAUAUAUGGAGGAACACCGGUGGCGAAAGCGGCUCUCUGGUCUGUAACUGACGCUGAGGCUCGAAAGCGUGGGGAGCGAACAGG